GAUGAAGAACGUAGCGAAAUGCGAUAAGUAAUGUGAAUUGCAGAAUUCAGUGAAUCAUCGAAUCUUUGAACGCACAUUGCGCCCGCCAGUAUUCUGGCGGGCAUGCCUGUUCGAGCGUCAUUACAACCCUCAGGCCCCCGGGCCUGGCGUUGGGGAUCGGCGGAGCCCCCCGUGGGCACACGCCGUCCCCCAAAUGCAGUGGCGGUCCCGCCGCAGCUUCCAUCGCGUAGUAGCUAACACCUCGCGACUGGAGAGCGGCGCGGCCACGCCGUAAAACACCCAACUCUUCUGAAGUUGACCUCAAAUCAGGUAGGACUACCCGCUGAACUUAAGCAUAUCAAUAAGCGGAGGA
rnacentral:misc_RNA from 1 species